UUCAAACACUGGUUUCCAUACGAUCACCGAAGUUAAGCGACAUCGCGCCUGGUCAGUACCUAGAUGGGUGACCGAUUGAGGAUACUAUG